rnacentral:rRNA from 1 species
GGGCUCGCAGGCGGUUUCUUAAGUCUGAUGUGAAAGCCCCCGGCUCAACCGGGGAGGGUCAUUGGAAACUGGGGAACUUGAGUGCAGAAGAGGAGAGUGGAAUUCCACGUGUAGCGGUGAAAUGCGUAGAGAUGUGGAGGAACACCAGUGGCGAAGGCGACUCUCUGGUCUGUAACUGACGCUGAGGAGCGAAAGCGUGGGGAGCGAACAGGAUUAGAUACCCUGGUAGUCCACGCCGUAAACGAUGAGUGCUAAGUGUUAGGGGGUUUCCGCCCCUUAGUGCUGCAGCUAACGCAUUAAGCACUCCGCCUGGGGAGUACGGUCGCAAGACUGAAACUCAAAGGAAUUGACGGGGGCCCGCACAAGCGGUGGAGCAUGUGGUUUAAUUCGAAGCAACGCGAAGAACCUUACCAGGUCUUGACAUCCUCUGACAAUCCUAGAGAUAGGACGUCCCCUUCGGGGGCAGAGUGACAGGUGGUGCAUGGUUGUCGUCAGCUCGUGUCGUGAGAUGUUGGGUUAAGUCCCGCAACGAGCGCAACCCUUGAUCUUAGUUGCCAGCAUUCAGUUGGGCACUCUAAGGUGACUGCCGGUGACAAACCGGAGGAAGGUGGGGAUGACGUCAAAUCAUCAUGCCCCUUAUGACCUGGGCUACACACGUGCUACAAUGGGCAGAACAAAGGGCAGCGAAACCCGCGAGGUUAAGCCAAUCCCACAAAUCUGUUCUCAGUUCGGAUCGCAGUCUGCAACUCGACUGCGUGAAGCUGGAAUCGCUAGUAAUCGCGGAUCAGCAUGCCGCGGGUGAAAUACGUUCCCGGGCCUUGUACACACCGCCCGUCACACCACGAGAGUUUGUAACACCCGAAGUCGGUGAGGUAACCUUUAGGAGCCAGCCGCCGAACGGGG